rnacentral:rRNA from 1 species
CCCGUAGGCGGCUUGAUAAGUCGGGUGUGAAAACUCCAGGCUCAACCUGGAGACGCCACCCGAUACUGUCAUGGCUUGAGUCUGGUAGGGAGUGCGGAAUUCCUGGUGUAGCGGUGAAAUGCGCAGAUAUCAGGAGGAACACCGGUGGCGAAGGCGGCACUCUGGGCCAGUACUGACGCUGAUGGGCGAAAGCGUGGGGAGCAAACAGGAUUAGAUACCCUGGUAGUCCACGCCGUAAACGUUGGGCACUAGGUGUGGGGGGUUAUCAACGCCCUCUGUGCCGUAGCUAACGCAUUAAGUGCCCCGCCUGGGGAGUACGGCCGCAAGGCUAAA